rnacentral:rRNA from 1 species
AUUGAACGCUGGCGGCAUGCUUUACACAUGCAAGUCGAACGGUAACAGGGAGCUUGCUCCGCUGACGAGUGGCGAACGGGUGAGUAAUGCGUCGGAACGUGCCGAGUAGUGGGGGAUAACGCAUCGAAAGGUGUGCUAAUACCGCAUACGUACUGAGGUAGAAAGUGGGGGACCUUCGGGCCUCACGCUAUUCGAGCGGCCGACGUCUGAUUAGCUAGUUGGUGAGGUAAAGGCUCACCAAGGCGACGAUCAGUAGCGGGUCUGAGAGGAUGAUCCGCAACACGGGGCAUGAGACACGGCCCAGACUCCUACGGGAGGCAGCAGUGGGGAAUUUGGGACAAUGGGCGCAAGCCUGAUCCAGCCAUGCCGCGUGUCUGAAGAAGGCCUUCGGGUUGUAAAGGACUUUUGUCCGGGAGCAAAUGCCUGGUGUUAAUAGCAUCGGGAGCUGAGAGUACCGGAAGAAUAAGCACCGGCUAACUACGUGCCAGCCGCCGCAGUAAAAC